rnacentral:lncRNA from 1 species
ACCAUCACACUGGAAGUCCAUUGCUACAUUUGUUUCCCCAAAUGUUCAGUAGUUCACUCUUUUCUUCCCACUGCUCUGCAAGAUCAUGCUAGGGACAAUAAGGAAAAUACCAGCCUAGAUGACAAAUCAGCACUUUGCUUCCCUUCCAGUAAACCAGUAAUUGCUCUGCUGUAACUAAGAGGCACAACAGUGUAAAACUGCUGUGCUGAGUCAGGAGGUGCUCUUGUGGGAUGCGGAGCCUAUCAGCAAGGACAUGAAUAUGGAUGGAAUUGCCCCAAAAUUGCCUGUAUUGAUGAAAAUGCCUCCCUGUAGGCUUAGAACUGAGCCACUAUCAAGAGUGACAACUUGCUUCUGCAGACCUCGCCAAGCACCCUUCACCACUAGCCAAAAAACACUUUCUGAAGAACAGUCAAG